rnacentral:rRNA from 1 species
AGGUGAAAAGCACCCCGGAAGGGGAGUGAAAUAGAACCUGAAACCGUGUGCUUACAAGUAGUCAGAGCCCGUUAAUGGGUGAUGGCGUGCCUUUUGUAGAAUGAACCGGCGAGUUACGAUUUGAUGCAAGGUUAAGCAGUAAAUGUGGAGCCGUAGCGAAAGCGAGUCUGAAUAGGGCGUUUAGUAUUUGGUCGUAGACCCGAAACCAGGUGAUCUACCCUUGGUCAGGUUGAAGUUCAGGUAACACUGAAUGGAGGACCGAACCGACUUACGUUGAAAAGUGAGCGGAUGAACUGAGGGUAGCGGAGAAAUUCCAAUCGAACCUGGAGAUAGCUGGUUCUCUCCGAAAUAGCUUUAGGGCUAGCCUCAAGUGAUGAUUAUUGGAGGUAGAGCACUGUUUGGACGAGGGGCCCCUCUCGGGUUACCGAAUUCAGACAAACUCCGAAUGCCAAUUAAUUUAACUUGGGAGUCAGAACAUGGGUGAUAAGGUCCGUGUUCGAAAGGGAAACAGCCCAGACCACCAGCUAAGGUCCCAAAAUAUAUGUUAAGUGGAAAAGGAUGUGGCGUUGCCCAGACAACUAGGAUGUUGGCUUAGAAGCAGCCAUCAUUUAAAGAGUGCGUAAUAGCUCACUAGUCGAGUGACACUGCGCCGAAAAUGUACCGGGGCUAAACAUAUUACCGAAGCUGUGGAUUGUCCUUUGGACAAUGGUAGGAGAGCGUUCUAAGGGCGUUGAAGCAUGAUCGUAAGGACAUGUGGAGCGCUUAGAAGUGAGAAUGCCGGUGUGAGUAGCGAAAGACGGGUGAGAAUCCCGUCCACCGAUUGACUAAGGUUUCCAGAGGAAGGCUCGUCCGCUCUGGGUUAGUCGGGUCCUAAGCUGAGGC